UAUCAUUAACGUAACUUCAUAAUUCAGAUACUUCAAAACUUAUUUUACCACUUCAACUUCCAAAAACACCAAGUAAUUGAAAAUUCUAAAAGGAAAAAAAAAAAAAAAAAAAAAAAAAUUUGAAUUUUUUUUUUUUUUACCUUAAAAACCAAGUCUUCUCCAGGGGAGUAUGUGUCCAUAACCGGACCCUCUGCAGGUAUCGCUGCUUCAAAUCCUCUCUAACGAGCAAUGGAUAAAACAGACCCCCCUUUCCAUUUCUUGCAACGUCCAAUACUAUAAAUAAAGCCGUUGUUUUUGAUCUCCAAAAUAUCCGAUAUGUGAAUACUACUGCAAAAAAAAAAAAAAAUUUGAAUUUUUUUUUUUUUUACCUUAAAAACCAAGUCUUCUCCAGGGGAGUAUGUGUCCAUAACCGGACCCUCUGCAGGUAUCGCUGCUUCAAAUCCUCUCUAACGAGCAAUGGAUAAAACAGACCCCCCUUUCCAUUUCUUGCAACGUCCAAUACUAUAAAUAAAGCCGUUGUUUUUGAUCUCCAAAAUAUCCGAUAUGUGAAUACUACUGCAAAAAAAAAAAAAAAUUUGAAUUUUUUUUUUUUUUACCUUAAAAACCAAGUCUUCUCCAGGGGAGUAUGUGUCCAUAACCGGACCCUCUGCAGGUAUCGCUGCUUCAAAUCCUCUCUAACGAGCAAUGGAUAAAACAGACCCCCCUUUCCAUUUCUUGCAACGUCCAAUACUAUAAAUAAAGCCGUUGUUUUUGAUCUCCAAAAUAUCCGAUAUGUGAAUACUACUGCAAAAAAAAAAAAAAAAAAAAAAAAAAACAAUUCAAGUUUUUUAUGAUUUUACCUUAAUAACCAAGUCUUCUCCAGAGGAGUAUGUGUCCAUAACCGGACCCUCUGCAGCUAACGCUGCUUCAAAUCCUCUCUAACGAGCAAUGGAUAAAACAGAAACCUCCUUUCAUUUCUUGCAACGUCCAAUACUAUAAAUAAAGCCGUUGUUUUU
rnacentral:lncRNA from 1 species